GCACAUGGUUAACGAGUUGUAAAAUUCGCCCUUCCGAUCUUCCUUCCGGACUUAUGUAAUACUGUUUUAAUUCAGACUAUUUAUUAGGACCAUUUUUUAUAUGUUGAACACGUAUUCGGACUGUACUUUAUGUAGUGGUUCUGAAGCCACAAGGAUCGAUCUGACUCUUCUUUAAGAUUAUCAUCUGCGAAAUUGGACGGGCUGGAAGAACGGGCACAGGUGCACAGGCCAUCCUGUACUUCAACUAAUUAGACUUGGUGGCAACAGCAAUGAGGAAAGGCAUACACGAAUAUUGUUUAAACAAUUCAAUGUGCAAAUGUGAAAUGAUAAUUCUUUCUUCGGAUUACGCACAAGGGUAACACCACUUACCUUUGCAGCGUUUGUAAUUCUGAUCUGGAACUGGAUUGGCAGUUUGGAAAUCUAAGAGUUGUUUGAACAAUGUACUGCGGUUAUCUACUGACUGGAUACGCUUACCUGUGCCCAAAAGGAUAUUUUCUAUAACAUAAAGAAACAAUUGUUAAUAAUGAUUAUUUGUUAAAGAUGCUGUUAUUUUAUAUUGUGAAUUUAUCCUAAAAUAUUGCCCUUGACUUACCGGUCGUGGGUGCCAUUUCAUCAAACAUCAUGUGACAUACUUAGAAUACGAUGCAUAUUUCAAAUAAACAGAUUUACUUAACACGAAAUCAUAGAAUUGCUCAUUUCGAUUUAUUGAUACAUGCCAUAUUGUUCUUACCCAUGGUCCAAGUUUUGAGUGCAUGUUGUUUAACAGCUUUCAUAUUUUCAAGUUUCCCGUUUUAAUUGUAUAUUUGAAUUGUCGUAAGACCUUUGAUAAAACAGUCCCCAACAUCUUAAGUUUUUUAUUCAUUAUGAUAUACCGGGAAAUAUGUACCAUUUUUUCUUAAAUUUCU